rnacentral:lncRNA from 1 species
UUCAUUGUUUUAGGUAUUACAAGUAAACUAGAGAUGAUUUGAGGCAUACGAGACCAGGUAUGUAGGUUAUAUGAAAAUACUGUGCCACUUUAUACCAGGGACUUGAGCAUCUGUAGAUUUUGCUAUCCGUGGGUCCUGGGAUCAAUCCUUUGUGGAUACCAAGAGACAACUGUAUUAACAUUUUAAGAAACUGGUAACCACAAGUGCCUCUGACACCUUAACUUCUUUCCAUGACCUUUGUCUGUUUCAGCUAUGACUUUAACGGAAGGUGGUGGGUAGACUUCACCACAGUGGGAAAAGGGUGGCGACAAAUGGAUUCUGCAUAAUCUUCUUAAUGUGACAACUUUCCAUUUCAAACAGGCAGGCACUGAGACAUCAAAGCAGCCAAGUGCCGCCCUGACGUUGAGCCCACCGAGUGCUGAGUGCCGCGUGCCGCGAGGCUGCUGCUGUUGGCUCUGCGUGAUCAGGAGAGCGGAGAUCAAAGGUGCCCAUUAUGUGCUGAAAUACCUGAAGUUGGAAAACACCACAAGAAAGCCAAGUGGAACCCCUCAUGCUGGAAGCUGA